rnacentral:lncRNA from 1 species
CUCCAAAGUAAUGCUGAUAACCACAGUGAGCACCAAAGCCAAAUGCCAAAAACCAAAAAGGAUGGCAAGAAUCAACCACAGGGGACAUCAGAGGACCACAGGUGGAGGAGAAGAGGCGAAAGUGGAAGCAACACAGGUAUUAAGAAGAGAGAAAGAAUCUGAGAAAUUAUGGCGUACUCAACUGUGGACAGCUGAAAGUCUGGCAUAGCGUGCCCUCAUCAUCACAAAUGGGCUCGCAUUACAAGCUACACUUAUUUGACAACUAUCAGCAUUUGUCAACCGGCACUCAGAUUUGAAGACUCAUUUCACAGCUGGAGCAAGAGAAGACAGGAAGGAAAAAUCAGAGUAAGGUUUCAAUGAGUUUCUGCAAAUUCUCAGAAGUUUUGCUGCCACUCAGUGUCACAAUAACAAAAAG